rnacentral:rRNA from 1 species
GACGAACGCUGGCGGCGUGCUUAACACAUGCAAGUCGUACGGUAAGGCCCUUUCGGGGGUACACGAGUGGCGAACGGGUGAGUAACACGUGAGUAACCUGCCCACAACUUUGGGAUAACGCUAGGAAACUGGUGCUAAUACUGGAUAUGUGCUCCUGCUGCAUGGUGGGGGUUGGAAAGCUCCGGCGGUUGUGGAUGGACUCGCGGCCUAUCAGCUUGUUGGUGGGGUAGUGGCCUACCAAGGCGGCGACGGGUAGCCGGCCUGAGAGGGUGACCGGCCACACUGGGACUGAGAUACGGCCCAGACUCCUACGGGAGGCAGAAGGGGGGAAUAUUGCACAAUGGGCGCAAGCCUGAUGCAGAAACGCCGCGUGCGGGAUGACGGCCUUCGGGUUGUAAACCGCUUUCAGCAGGGACGAAGCUUUUUGUGACGGUACCUGCAGAAGAAGCACCGGCUAACUACGUG